rnacentral:lncRNA from 1 species
AUUGAUUAACGAAAAUAUAUCAAAUAAGUUGAAACUCAAAGUUUUAUUAUGAGUAUAAUGACUUCUGUUUUAUCUUAUGCUGAGUUUGGCAAGCUUGCAAACAUUAAUUUAACGUCGUGUAUUUUGAUAUAUUAUGAAAACAUUGCCAGCAAAUGCAAGUCGAACCUGAGGCAACGCCCCGUAACAUUCUUCCAAUCCCGCCAAUUUCUUAGCGACCAUCUCAUAAAGAUCUCACUACAGUGCAGAGAGGGAAGCGAAGAACUCAAAGAUGGAGUUCACCCUCCGCGGCAACGCGUUGAAGACCUUCACUCUCUCGAUGAAGUGCCUCUCCUGCGGCAGCAACGACCUCGCCAUUGAAGCUUCUCCUUUCCAGGUGAGUCGAUUUUGUCCAUAAUUCUUCGCUGACUCUCUCACCCACAUUUCCGGUCAAAAAGUUCGCUGUCGCCACUUUCUAUCCUCAGGUGCAUUCAUCGAGUGAAAAGCUUAGCGAUGCCCUGACGAGUGAUGCUUAGUUCAGAUGCUAUGCUGCCUCGUCAGGUAUUGGCUCGUUUCCUUAGAUAAAGUGUCCGAUUGAGAGUCCUUGCUAGCAUUUCAGUGGAGGAUUUGCUGCAGAAAUUUGUUUGUCUAGGUUCGUGAUUGGCCCUGUUGAAUAUGAGUAGAUCUUGACGUGCCCAAAUCUGAAGCUGGAAGAAUCAUCAGUACUAGUCGCCGAAAAUGUCUCGUAGGAAAAGUUUGACAUUCCUUUCUACGGUUGCUCCUAUCCUGUUUUGAUAAGGCUUUUUUGGUUUUGUUAGAGUUAAUUAACUUAAUCUGAUAUGGAGUUUACAACAGUAAUUUGGAUUUCCAGUUUGAAUCGAACUGGAUUACUUGGUAGAUGUUAUUUAUUGGUGAUUAU